UGCCAGCCGCCGCGGUAAUACGGAGGGUGCAAGCGUUAAUCGGAAUUACUGGGCGUAAAGCGCGCGUAGGCGGUUUGGUAAGUGUGAUGUGAAAGCCCAGGGCUCAACCUUGGAACUGCAUCACAUACUGCCAGGCUAGAGUACGGUAGAGGGGGGUAGAAUUCCAUGUGUAGCGGUGAAAUGCGUAGAGAUGUGGAGGAAUACCAGUGGCGAAGGCGGCCCCCUGGAUCGAUACUGACGCUGAGGUGCGAAAGCGUGGGGAGCAAACAGGAUUAGAUA
rnacentral:rRNA from 1 species